rnacentral:rRNA from 1 species
CUACGGGAGGCAGCAGUGGGGAAUUUUCCGCAAUGGGCGAAAGCCUGACGGAGCAAUACCGCGUGAGGGAAGACUGCCUAUGGGUUGUAAACCUCUUUUUUCAGGGAGGAAUCAAUGACGUGUACCUGAAGAAUAAGCAUCGGCUAACUCCGUGCCAGCAGCCGCGGUAAGACGGAGGAUGCAAGUGUUAUCCGGAAUCACUGGGCGUAAAGCGUCUGUAGGUUGUUGAACAAGUCAACUGUUAAAUCUUGAGGCUCAACUUCAAAAUCGCAGUCGAAACUGUUUGACUAGAGUAUAGUAGGGGUAAAGGGAAUUUCCAGUGGAGCGGUGAAAUGCGUAGAGAUUGGAAAGAACACCGAUGGCGAAGGCACUUUACUGGGCUAUUACUAACACUCAGAGACGAAAGCUAGGGUAGCAAAUGGGAUUAGAUACCCCAGUAGUCCUAGCCGUAAACAAUGGAUACUAGAUGUUGAACAGAUCGACCUGUGCAGUAUCAAAGCUAACGCGUUAAGUAUCCCGCCUGGGAAGUAUGCUCGCAAGAGUGAAACUCAAAU